CGGCACCUAAGAGGCAGACUCGUUGGCCAAUUGGAUUCAUGUCACGUAGUACAGAUUCACACCACAAUGAUUCAUAGUCAAUUCCAUCCCAUCAACCAAUCCCAAAUCCAGUCCCGUCACAUCCCCAGCAUCCUGAAGAGGACUUGAUCCACUCACAAUCCAACCCCCAUGACUCACGUAGUCAGCAAGGUACAAGCUCCAUGUCAUCUACAGCCAAAAAAGGAAAAGGAAUAUCAAGACAAAUUUUAAAGUGGGGAAAGGAAAAGAUUCAUAUUGAAUUUGAUACUGAAGGACAACCAGUUGGGGAGAUGGCAACUAAGUUGGAAACCCAACUAGGUGUGAUGGUAAAGAGUAUUGUUCCCCUUACAUUUAUUGAUUGGAGGUCAUCAGGGAUGGAACCAUAUAAGGAGCGUAUCUGGCAAGAGGAUAACACUGAUGUACCCAUAACAUGGAGAUCAAUUUACUUGCAACAUUCUUCCAAGAAGUGGAGAGAGUACAAAGCCACCUUGAAGAGGCAUUAUGUUGCCAUAAGACAGAUGCGGCUCAUCUGUCAAAAAUACUGCCUGGGAUGGACCCAGAACAGUGGAAAGUUCUUGUGAAGUAUUGGGGAUGUGAGCAAGCACAGGUAUGUAUGAUAGAUACAUCAGAUGGAUUCUCUAUACCUAGUUCUAAUAUCAUAUUACAAGUAGGAACGUAGUGCGACAAAUCGUGCCAAUCGAGAUAAGCAAAAGAUGGGUCACAUCAGCGGUAGGUGAUCACAUCCUCAGGUUAGGCACUAGGUAAGAAUAUAAUGGAUAUUAAUUAUAUAUAUUUAUUGAUAAUUUAAUUAGUAAUGCCUAAACUUUAAACAUUUAAUAUAUUUCAUCUCUUAUAUAUGUUUUUAGAUGACUAUUGAAAGUGGAGAUGAGCCAGAUAGAAUCAAGCUUAUUAAAAAGACACACACCAAAAAGAGCAGAGAGAUAGUGGACUCUACAUCUUCUUAUAUAAUUGUAUAUCUUUCUAAAAUUUGAAAGUUGUAGAUAUAUUUUGUUUCUUUCACUUGUCAACUUAUGUAACUAACUUGUGACAUGUUUAUUGAGGAACAAAUGGAUGAAAGAUUGUCACAAAUACCUAGUGAUGAACAAACUCCAGAUUUGUUAGAGGAUGUCUUUACUCAAAUAUUAGGCAAAGAUGGGCAUGGCAGGGUACGUAUGGGAGGACUUGGAACAUGCCCAACUAAGGUUAGACAAAAACAACAGUAUCAGGUGCCCCAAGAAUAGUAUGACCAAAUGCAUGCGCAAAUUACUGCCGAGCUAGAAGAAAAAUUUCAAGCUCAAAUCCAAAGUCAAGUUCAAAUACAAGUUUGUGCAAUACUUGAGGCAAUGGGACAUACACCACCGGCUCCAAAUAAUAUACCAUAACCAAGACAGCCAUCCUCACAUGCCAGUGCUUCUACCGCACAUGAAAGCACACGACCCGAAGCUGAAUGUGUUGGAUUAUUGACACCAGAAUAUGGUAAUAAUUUAGAGAUCAACAAAAUAUGAUAUUGGGAUUUUGGUUGGAGAAUGGCAUGGUGGCGUAAUCAAGGGUUAUCUGAGGCCACUAGGACAUGAUUUAGUUUAGAGUUGCUUUGUAUGUGCUUUUGUAUGGUAUUGUGUAAUGAGACGAGACAAGAUUGAUCUUUCUAAAUGAUGUUGUAUUUAAAUAGAUUAGUAUACAGUUGUUAUACUUAUU